CGCGUAGGCGGCUUUGGAAGUCUGGUGUGAAAACGCUACCGCUCAACGGAGCGAUUGCGCUGGAAACUCCAAAACUUGAGUCAGGGAGAGGUGAACGGAAUACCUGGUGUAGCGGUGGAAUGCUUAGAGAUCAGGUAGAACAUCUGAGGCGAAGGCGGUUCACUGGCCCUUGACUGACGCUGAGGCGCGAAAGCGUGGGGAUCAAACG
rnacentral:rRNA from 1 species